rnacentral:rRNA from 1 species
AUGCGCGGUGCGCCCGUCAGUGCCCGUGCUCCCAGGCCGGUGCGGCCGUUACAGCUGCUUGCUCAAGGCGGCGUGCUGACUGCCUGGUUCGUGACCUUGAUUUUUCAUAGAGAUAUAGUAGAAUCAGAUAUAGUGCGAGAAGCCAAUGGUAUUGCAAUGAGAUCUCAUAAUCUCCCUGAGGAAAGGGAGAAGGCAUUAUCCAUUAGUAGAUCACUGGUAAAUGUUAGAACUGCCGCGUUGAAUAAUAGCAACAGUGCUGGUGAACGUAUAAAGGAUCAAAUAGUGCAAACACUGACUGAAGCUGGUGGUCAGGUUGAUUAUGUUGAGGUAAGAUUGAAGCCUUUUUUUAUUGAAGUGCCCUUACUGUUUUCUAUAAAGAAAUUUAUUUAUUCAUUGAGUUUGUUAAUAUAUCUUUAA